rnacentral:rRNA from 1 species
UACGUAGGGUGCGAGCGUUAAUCGGAAUUACUGGGCGUAAAGCGUGCGCAGGCGGUUUUGUAAGCCAGAUGUGAAAUCCCCGGGCUUAACCUGGGAAUGGCAUUUGGGACUGCAAGGCUUGAGUGCGGCAGAGGAGACUGGAAUUCCUGGUGUAGCAGUGAAAUGCGUAGAUAUGUGGAGGAACACCGAUGGCGAAGGCAGCCCCCUGGGUCAAAACUGACGCUCAUGCACGAAAGCGUGGGGAGCAAACAGG